rnacentral:rRNA from 1 species
UUUCCCGCUGGCGGCAUGCUUUACACAUGCAAGUCGAACGGCAGCGCGGGCUUCGGCCUGGCGGCGAGUGGCGAACGGGUGAGUAAUACAUCGGAACGUGCCCAGUAGUGGGGGAUAGCUCGGCGAAAGCCGGAUUAAUACCGCAUACGACCUGAGGGUGAAAGCGGGGGAUCUUCGGACCUCGCGCUAUUGGAGCGGCCGAUGGCAGAUUAGCUAGUUGGUGGGGUAAAGGCCUACCAAGGCGACGAUCUGUAGCUGGUCUGAGAGGACGACCAGCCACACUGGGACUGAGACACGGCCCAGACUCCUACGGGAGGCAGCAGUGGGGAAUUUUGGACAAUGGGCGAAAGCCUGAUCCAGCAAUGCCGCGUGUGUGAUGAAGGCCUUCGGGUUGUAAAGCACUUUUGGCGGGAACGAAAAGGACUGUGCCAAUACCACGGUUCGAUGACGGUACCCGCAGAAUAAGCACCGGCUAACUACGUG